AUUGAACGCUGGCGGCAUGCUUUACACAUGCGAGUCGAACGGUAACAGGCCUUCGGGUGCUGACGAGUGGCGAACGGGUGCGUAAUGCAUCGGAACGUACCCAGAGGUGGGGGAUAACGCAGCGAAAGCUGUGCUAAUACCGCAUGUGAUCUGAGGAUGAAAGCGGGGGACCGAGCAGCAAUGUUUGGCCUCGCGCCUUUGGAGCGGCCGAUGUCGGAUUAGCUAGUUGGUGGGGUAAAGGCCUACCAAGGCGACGAUCCGUAGCUGGUCUGAGAGGACGACCAGCCACACUGGGACUGAGACACGGUCCAGACUCCUACGGGAGGCAGCAGUGGGGAAUUUUGGACAAUGGGCGCAAGCCUGAUCCAGCAAUGCCGCGUGCGGGAAGAAGGCCUUCGGGUUGUAAACCGCUUUUGGCAGGAACGAAACGGUGUCCGCUAAUACCGGGCGCUAAUGACGGUACCUGCAGAAUAAGCACCGGCUAACUACGUG
rnacentral:rRNA from 1 species